rnacentral:rRNA from 1 species
UGGGGAAUAUUGCACAAUGGGCGCAAGCCUGAUGCAGCCAUGCCGCGUGUGUGAAGAAGGCCUUCGGGUUGUAAAGCACUUUCAGCGAGGAGGAAGGUGGUGAACUUAAUACGUUCAUCAAUUGACGUUACUCGCAGAAGAAGCACCGGCUAACUCCGUGCCAGCAGCCGCGGUAAUACGGAGGGUGCAAGCGUUAAUCGGAAUUACUGGGCGUAAAGCGCGCGCAGGCGGUUUGUUAAGUCAGAUGUGAAAUCCCCCGGGCUCAACCUGGGAACUGCAUUUGAAACUGGCAAGCUAGAGUCUCGUAGAGGGGGGUAGAAUUCCAGGUGUAGCGGUGAAAUGCGUAGAGAUCUGGAGGAAUACCGGUGGCGAAGGCGGCCCCCUGGACGAAGACUGACGCUCAGGUGCGAAAGCGUGGGGCAGCAAACAGGAUUAGAUACCCUGGUAGUCCACGCUGUAAACGAUGUCGAUUUGGAGGUUGUGCCCUUGAGGCGUGGCUUCCGGAGCUAACGCGUU